GUACUUUCCAACAAAUCAAACGGCACAUGAUUCGGAGCUUGCUAGAGAAAGAUAUCACGAAUUAAAGUUGAAUCCGAUUCGGGUCCGAGCUGUCAGGAGACCCGAAUUUGUUUUAAUCACCCAGGCCGCAUCCGGAGUCCAAAUCAAGCAAACAAGUACUUGUUGGAAAGGUAAUUACAAGACCUUUCCAACGGAUCUGGCCCCAUCAAGAGAUUCGACUCGUGCUGACCGUGGCGGACAAAACAAGCUGACGGAUCUGUUUUUCUGUUAGCUAAAGAGUUGUAGUUUGUUAGGAAAGUUAGAGAUAGAGUUGGAUUUCGGACUCCUUAUUCAAGGUGGACGAAAAUAUCUCUCCCUCCUCCUUUAUAUACCCCAUGAGCCCCCUAAGGAGCCUUGGGUUUUGUUUAGUUAAAAGUUAGCCAUUGCUACUACUUCGUGUAAUCGCGUGUGUCGGUUAGACCACCUGUUUUACCGCUUUCGGAACCCCAACUUAUCGUCUCGUUGAGACAUUGGUUUGAUAUAGUAUAUUCGCAAUUUUAGAUUGCAUCCGCUAUUUAUCCGCUAUUUAUACCCCAUGAGCCCCCCUAUGGAGCCUUGGGUUUUGAUUAGAUAAAGUUUAGCCUUUGCUACUUUCGUGUAAUCGCGUGUGUCGGUUAGACCACCUAUUUUACCGUCAUCAAGACUCCAACUAUAUUGAGUAUUCAGAUUCGUGAACCUUCAUAUCUCCUAUUCGCAAUUUCAGAUUGCUUUUCAUCUUGUUCUUGCUUGUUCUUCGAUUGCUUGCAGGAACAAAGACCUUCGUGGUCAGGUUGAUCGUGCCCCCGCGUGAUCAAUAACCCUCUGGAGUUGGUGUAUCGAUUGCUAAGGCGCUGCCUCCUAGGCCGUAGUUGGAUCGUCAACGUCACCUCCUACCCAAAUCGAGAGUUACCAAUCUCAUCGAAAGAUCGGGCCACCCGCACCCGUAUCACCUGUUCUAUUUGUGGAAAAGAAGGACAAGAGCCAACGGAUGUGCAUAGAUUAUCGUUCACUAAAUGAGGUGAUGAUAAAGAAAAAAUACCCCUUACCUAUAAUCAAUGAUCUAUUCGAUCAAUUGAAAGGAGCCUGUGUAUUCUCAAAGAUCGAUCUUCGAUCGGGUUAUUUUCAGUUAAAGAUCCGAGAAGCGGAUAUACCCAAGACAGCCUUUACCACUAGAUAUGGCCUGUAUGAGUAUACGGUGAUGCCUUUUGGAUUGACCAACGCACCGGCAUACUUUAUGAAUAUGAUGAAUAAAGUGUUCAUGGAAUAUUUGGACAAGUUUGUCGUAGUGUUCAUCGACGACAUUUUGAUUUACUCGAAGAGCAAAGAAGAACAUGAAGUACAUUUGCGUCUGAUUAUGGAAAAGCUCAGAGAACACAAGCUUUAUGCCAAAUUCAGCAAGUGUGAAUUUUGGUUGUCCGAAGUAGGUUUCUUGGGACACAUAGUGUCAGGAGACGGAGUUGCUGUUGACCCAGCUAAAGUAGCAGCGGUAACAGAAUGGGAAGCCUCUAAGAACGUCGGUGAUGUUCGCAGUUUCUUAGGACUUGCUGGAUGGAUACUAUAGGAGGUUCAUUGAGAAUUUUUCCAAGAUAGCAAAACCCAUGACUGAACUUUUGAAGAAAGAGAAGAAAUUUGAGUGGUCUGAUAAGUGUGAAGAAAGUUUUCAAGAAUUGAAGAAGAGAUUACUGUCUGCACCCAUCCUUGUUUUACCCAACUUGCUAGAAGAUUUCGAAGUGUACUGUGACGCCUCGCGUCUAAAAUUGGGCUGUGUUUUGAUGCAAGAAGGAAGAGUUGUGGCAUACGCCUCACGACAACUUAAGAGUCACGAAGGAAAUUACCCCACUCAUGAUUUGGAAGUAGCAUCUGUAGUGCACGCACUAAAAACUUGGAGGCACUAUCUCAUGGGAAAGCAUUGUGAAUUAUUCACCGAUCACAAGAGCUUGAAAUAUAUAUUCACGCAGAAGGAAUUGAACUUGAGACCAAGAAGAUGGUUAGAGUUAAUCAAGAAUUAUAAUUUGAAUCUGCAAUACCACCCAGGCAAGGCUAAUGUAGUAGCCGACGCUUUAAGCCGUAAAGGCUAUGUCAAUGGUCUUACAGCUGGAGAGUUACCCUCCGAGUUGUGCGAACAAUUCAAGGACUUCAGAUUGGAGAUAGUCCUGGAAGGUUAUCUGGCUAACUUGGAAGUACAACCCACCUUGUUGGACAGAAUUAGAGAAGCCCAGAAAGGCGACUCCGAAAUUAAGUAGAUAAAGGAUAAUAUGGUUGCCGGAAAGGCGAAAUGAUUCAUUGAGGAUGACCAAGGUACCAUAUGGUUUGAGAAAUGUAUUUGUGUACCACAGGACCCUGAGAUCAGAAAGUUUAAUACUUCAAGAGGCUCACGAUUCACCGUACUCGAUUCACCCUGGGAACACAAAAAAGUACAUGGACUUGAAAGAAAGAUUUUGGUGGACAGGGUUGAAGCGAGAUAUCGCUGAGUCUAUUGCUCUAUGUGAUGUAUGUAACAAAGUCAAGGCUGAACAUCAGAAACCAGCUGGAGUACUACGACCAUUGCCAGUGCCAAACUGGAAAUGGGAUAAAGUAGGCAUGGAUUUCAUCACCGGCUUGCCGAGGACAAGGUCUGGUUAUGAUUCGAUAUGGGUAGUAGUUGACCGUUUGACAAGGGUUGCUCAUUUCAUACCUGUGAAGACCACUUAUACAAGUGCUCAGUUGGCCAAACGCUACAUGCCUAGAAUUGUGUGCCUACAUGUUGAUAUGGACAUGCUAACCAUGGAUACGACCAUUAAAACCCUAAUUGUUGGUGUCUCUAAUAACAAUUAUAAUCAGGUGAAUUCAAUUACAAAAUGUUUUCAAUAUGUUACUUGCAAAGAGGCGGAGCUACUAUCUUUACAAGUCCAAAGUGAAGAUGAAGUGUGAUAGCCUGCAAAGGGAGAUUCAAAGUGAAGCCUAUCAAGUCUACUUUCCAACAAAUCAAACUGCACAUGAUUCGGAGCUUGCUAGAGAAAGAUAUCACGAAUUAAAGUUGAAUCCGAUUCGGGUCCGAGCUGUCAGGAGACCCGAAUUUGUUUUAAUCACCCAGACCGCAUCCAGAGUCCAAAUCAAGCAAACAAGUACUUGUUGGAAAGGUAAUUACAAGUCCUUUCCAACGGAUCUAGCCCCAUCAAGAGAUUCGACUUGUGCUGACUGUGGCGGACAAAACAAGCUGACGGAUCUGUUUUUCUGUUUCUUAAAGAGUUGUAGUUUGUUAGGAAAGUUAGAGAUAGAGUUGGAUUUCGGCCUCCUUACUCAAGGUGGACGAAAAUAUCUCUCCCUCCUCCUUUAUAUACCCCAUGAGCCCCCUAAGGAGCCUUGGGUUUUGAUUAGAUAAAGUUUAGCCAUCUUUGCUACUUUCGUGUAAUCGUGUGUGUCGGUUAGACCACCUGUUUUACCGUCGU
rnacentral:lncRNA from 1 species